rnacentral:rRNA from 1 species
UACGGAAGGCAGCAGUGGGGAAUAUUGCAACAAUGGGCGAAAGCCUGAUGCAGCUAUGCCGCGUGUAUGAAGAAGGCCUUAGGGUUGUAAAGUACUUUCAUCGGGGAGGAAAAACAAACUAAUAAUUUUAUUUCUUGACGUUACCCGAAAAAGAAGCACCGGCUAACUCCGUGCCAGCAGCCGCGGUAAUACGGAGGGUGCUAGCGUUAAUCAGAAUUACUGGGCGUAAAGAGCACGUAGGUGGUUUUUUUAAGUCAGAUGUGAAAUCCCUGGGCUUAACCUAGGAACUGCAUUUUGAAACUGAAAUACUAGAGUAUCGUAGAGGGAGGUAGAAUUCUAGGUGUAGCGGUGAAAUGCGUAGAUAUCUGGAGGAAUACCUGUGGCGAAAGCGGCCUCCUAAACGAAUACUGACACUGAGGUGCGAAAAGCGUGGGGAGCAAACAGGGAUUAGAUACC